rnacentral:rRNA from 1 species
CACGUAGGCGGCCUGUUAAGUGUGGAGUGAAAUCCCACGGCUCACCCGUGGAACUGCUUCGCAUACUGGCAAGCUCGAGGACGGUAGGGGAGAGCGGAACUCUUGGUGGAGCGGUGAAAUGCGUAGAUAUCAAGAGGAACACCGAUGGCGAAGGCAGCUCUCUGGUCCGUUUCUUACGCUGAGGUGCGAAAGCUAGGGUAGCGAACG